GCUCCCGUCACCCUGCGCGGGGCCGUGGUGGCGGCGCUGAUGGCGGCCGUGCCGCCGGUGGCCUACGUGUACAGCCCCGAGUACAUGGCCCGCUGCGACGCGCUCUGCAAGGCGCCCCGCCGGGCCAGCAUGGUGCACUCGCUGAUCGAGGCGUACUCGCUGCUGGAGCACAUGACGAUAGUCAAGCCGAAGGUGGCUACCAUGGAGGAGAUGGCGAGCUUCCACACGGACGCUUACCUGCAGCACCUGCAGAAGGUCAGCGAGGAGGGGGAUGACGACCAUCCGGAGUCCGUGGAGUAUGGAUUGGGUUACGACUGUCCGGCUACCGAGGGGAUCUUUGACUAUGCGGCAGCCGUGGGGGGAGCCACCAUCACCGCAGCCCAGUGCCUGCUGGACGGCAAGUGCAAGGUAGCGAUUAACUGGCCUGGAGGGUGGCAUCACGCGAAGAAAGAUGAAGCUUCAGGCUUUUGUUACCUGAACGACGCUGUCUUGGGGAUCCUGCGGCUGCGCCAGAAAUUUGACCGAGUCCUUUACAUUGACUUGGAUUUGCAUCACGGGGAUGGGGUUGAAGAUGCCUUUAGCUUCACCUCAAAAGUUAUGACUGUUUCUCUGCACAAGUUUUCGCCAGGAUUUUUCCCAGGCACAGGCGAUGUGACAGAUGUCGGCUUGGGGAAGGGUCGCUAUUACAGCGUGAACGUGCCUAUUCAAGAUGGCAUUCAGGAUGAGAAAUAUUACCAGAUCUGUGAAACCGUGCUGAAGGAGGUGUACGCUGCCUUCAACCCGGAGGCGGUGGUGCUGCAGCUGGGAGCUGACACCAUCGCUGGUGACCCCAUGUGCUCCUUCAACAUGACCCCCGAGGGAGUGGGCAAGUGCCUGAAGUACGUCCUGCAGUGGCAGCUGGCGACUCUCAUCCUGGGAGGAGACAGGAGGCUACAACCUUGCCAACACGGCCCGCUGCUGGACGUACUUGACUGGGGUUAUCCUUGGGAGAACGCUGUCCUCAGAGAUCCCCGAUCACGAGUUCUUCACGGAGUAUGGUCCUGACUACGUGCUGGAGAUCACGCCCAGCUGCAGACCAGACCGCAAUGAGCCACAGAGAAUUCAAGAAAUUCUCAACUUGAUCAAAGGUUUAUUCAGACUUUGGGUGCCAACACACAACGUAGCAGCAAGUGUCGUGGUUGGCAUGUGGAAAAGCACUUGCUUUUGCAUAAAACUUGGUGUUGGGUAUUUUCCCUGAGUGCUGUCUUGUUGUAGACUGAGAAACAGCAAGUAACCGGCUCCUAUUCGCCUCCCCAGUGCCGAUCUGUGGUUUCACAGACCUGUGUCACUGCCACCAUUUCUUUUCCAAGAUGAAGCUCCUCAGUCUGCUCCACCUCUGCAAGCAGCACAUCUCCACCUGGCACUACCUGGGCCCAUCAGCAGUUUUAUAAACCCUCAGAGCUUGCUGCAGUUCCCAAGGGUGAAAUGAGAAAGAUCUCCAAGCUUCUUUUAGGUGAAAAAUAAGAGUUUUUCACUGCAGGAGUUACCUGGCAAUGCAAAAACAUCCAUGGCACACUCAGCCCGGCAGCAAGUUUUUUCUCUGAGGCAGUGCUCAGAGUGGAGUUCCCAUCCUUUGAUCCCAGGAGAGCUCUGCUGCUCUGAGCAGAUGGAAGCAACGUGCAAAUGAGCAGUGUCUUUUCUUGGUUUACGGGCUCCUGAGGCAAUCACAGCUGAACUAGGACCCCUCUCUCUUGCUGUCAGAUCUCGCCAGGCUGUCACAGCAGCAGGAAGGCAUCAACUGACGGACGCAAGGGGGAAUCUGAAGCACGUCGUGUAGGAAGGCUCGGGUUUCCACAAGAGCAUUUCCCCAUGGGAGGUGACACGUUUACGGGAGCAGCUGCCGACAUUUGUGGCUGCAGAGGGGAUUUGGAAGAAACUACUGUUGGUUCGUUGGUGGAUUUGUUUCUCUUUUUAAAAAAAAGAAAAGCCUGCUGCGUACCAUGGCUCUCCGUGGGCAGGAGCAUGAGCCCUCCGGCCCCAGCUUUCCCGUGCCAGCAGAGCCUUCCUUGCUCCUUUCUCUUCCCUUUUUUAACAUGACAGAGUUUAUUCUCACUACUGGUUCUAAUGUUUUUUAAAAGAGGGGCCACUGCAAGCUCUGUUUUUAACUGGUGGGCAUUUUUUUUCCCAAAUAAAGUAUUUGAAAUACUCCAG